rnacentral:rRNA from 1 species
GAUGAACGCUGGCGGCGUGCCUAAUACAUGCAAGUCGAGCGAAUGGAUUAAGAGCUUGCUCUUAUGAAGUCAGCGGCGGACGGGUGAGUAACACGUGGGUAACCUGCCCAUAAGACUGGGAUAACUCCGGGAAACCGGGGCUAAUACCGGAUAACAUUUUGAACCGCAUGGUUCGAAAUUGAAAGGCGGCUUCGGCUGUCACUUAUGGAUGGACCCGCGUGGCAUUAGCUAGUUGGUGAGGUAACGGCUCACCAAGGCAACGAUGCGUAGCCGACCUGAGAGGGUGAUCGGCCACACUGGGACUGAGACACGGCCCAGACUCCUACGGGAGGCAGCAGUAGGGGAUCUUCCGCAAUGGACGAAAGUCUGACGGAGCAACGCCGCGUGAGUGAUGAAGGCUUUCGGGUCGUAAAACUCUGUUGUUAGGGAAGAACAAAUGCUAGUUGAAUAAGCUGGCACCUUGACGGUACCUAACCAGAAAGCCACGGCUAACUACGUGCCAGCCGCCGCGGUAA